rnacentral:sRNA from 1 species
UAUAAGUUGCGUUAACGAUUGAAGCGACAUCCUUUUUUUGCCCUCACCAUAUUGCAAUUGCAAAAAAAGAUAUAGCAUAAAGCGUGUUAAAAC